rnacentral:rRNA from 1 species
UGCAGUCGAACGGUGAAGCCCAGCUUGCUGGGUGGAUCAGUGGCGAACGGGUGAGUAACACGUGAGCAACCUGCCCUCCACUUCGGGAUAAGCCUUGGAAACGGGGUCUAAUACCGGAUAUGAGCUCGCAUCGCAUGGUGUGGGUUGGAAAGUUUUUCGGUGGGGGAUGGGCUCGCGGCCUAUCAGCUUGUUGGUGGGGUGAUGGCCUACCAAGGCGUCGACGGGUAGCCGGCCUGAGAGGGCGACCGGCCACACUGGGACUGAGACACGGCCCAGACUCCUACGGGAGGCAGCAGUGGGGAAUAUUGCACAAUGGGCGCAAGCCUGAUGCAGCGACGCCGCGUGAGGGAUGACGGCCUUCGGGUUGUAAACCUCUUUCAGCAGGGAAGAAGCGCAAGUGACGGUACCUGCAGAAGAAGCGCCGGCUAACUACGUGCCAGCAGCCGCGGUAAUACGUAGGGCGCAAGCGUUGUCCGGAAUUAUUGGGCGUAAAGAGCUCGUAGGCGGUCUGUCGCGUCUGGUGUGAAAUCCCGAGGCUCAACCUCGGGCUUGCAUCGGGUACGGGCAGACUAGAGUGCGGUAGGGGAGACUGGAAUUCCUGGUGUAGCGGUGGAAUGCGCAGAUAUCAGGAGGAACACCGAUGGCGAAGGCAGGUCUCUGGGCCGCAACUGACGCUGAGGAGCGAAAGCAUGGGGAGCGGACAGGAUUAGAUACCCUGGUAGUCCAUGCCGUAAACGUUGGGCACUAGGUGUGGGGCUCAUUCCACGAGUUCCGUGCCGCAGCUAACGCAUUAAGUGCCCCGCCUGGGGAGUACGGCCGCAAGGCUAAAACUCAAAGGAGUUGACGGGGGCCCGCACAAGCGGCGGAGCAUGCGGAUUAAUUCGAUGCAACGCGAAGAACCUUACCAAGGCUUGACAUGUACGAGAAAGCCCCCGAGACGGGGUUCUCUUUGGACACUCGUACACAGGUGGUGCAUGGUUGUCGUCAGCUCGUGUCGUGAGAUGUUGGGUUAAGUCCCGCAACGAGCGCAACCCUCGUCCUAUGUUGCCAGCGGGUUAUGCCGGGGACUCAUGGGAGACUGCCGGGGUCAACUCGGAGGAAGGUGGGGAUGACGUCAAAUCAUCAUGCCCCUUAUGUCUUGGGCUUCACGCAUGCUACAAUGGCCGGUACAGAGGGCUGCGAUACCGUAAGGUGGAGCGAAUCCCAAAAAGCCGGUCUCAGUUCGGAUUGGGGUCUGCAACUCGACCCCAUGAAGUCGGAGUC